GUUACUUUGGCAGAUUAGUGCAAUUGAUUUAGAAUCUUUUUAUGUAAAAUUUUACAGGUAAUA
rnacentral:tRNA from 1 species